GAUUUCAACUAAAAAAGUCAUCAAUAACAAAGUGGUAUAACUCAUCAAGAUCUAGAAUUUUUAUUUGGGUCAUUUCUUCAUCUGACCAAGCGAUUUGUAACAUUGUUCACAAAAUGUACAUAUCUCUUAUAUAUAGUUUAUGAACUAUAAGAGAGAUAUGUAAAUUUUGUGAACAAUGUUACUAUCACUUUACCGGAUAAAGAAAUGACCAAAAUAAAAGUUAUAGAUAUUGAUGAGUUAUACAACUUUGUUUUUGAUGACAUUUUCAGUUGAAAUC
rnacentral:pre_miRNA from 1 species